rnacentral:rRNA from 1 species
CCUACGGGCGGCAGCAGUGAGGAAUAUUGGUCAAUGGACGAGAGUCUGAACCAGCCAAGUAGCGUGAAGGAUGACUGCCCUAUGGGUUGUAAACUUCUUUUAUAUGGGAAUAAAAUGUUCCACGUGUGGGAUUUUGUAUGUACCAUAUGAAUAAGGAUCGGCUAACUCCGUGCCAGCAGCCGCGGUAAUACGGAGGAUCCGAGCGUUCUCCGGAUUUAUUGGGUUUAAAGGGAGCGUAGGUGGAUUGUUAAGUCAGUUGUGAAAGUUUGCGGCUCAACCGUAAAAUUGCAGUUGAAACUGGCAGUCUUGAGUACAGUAGAGGUGGGCGGAAUGCGUGGUGUAGCGGUGAAAUGCUUAGAUAUCACGAAGAACUCCGAUUGCGAAGGCAGUUCACUGGACUGCAACUGACACUGAGGCUCGAAAGUGUGGGUAUCAAACAGGAUUAGAUACCCGUGUAGUC